rnacentral:rRNA from 1 species
UACGGAGGAUGCGAGCGUUAUCCGGAUUUAUUGGGUUUAAAGGGUGCGUAGGCGGGAUGCCAAGUCAGCGGUAAAAAUGCGGUGCUCAACGCCGUCGAGCCGUUGAAACUGGCGUUCUUGAGUGGGCGAGAAGUAUGCGGAAUGCGUGGUGUAGCGGUGAAAUGCAUAGAUAUCACGCAGAACUCCGAUUGCGAAGGCAGCAUACCGGCGCCCGACUGACGCUGAGGCACGAAAGCGUGGGUAUCGAACAGG